GUCUACAGUCAUGCCACCCAGAAUGCGCCUGAUCUUACCUGAUCUCAGAAGCUAAGCAGGGUCAGGCCUAGUUAGUAUUUGGAUGGGAGGUCACCUAGGAAUACCAGGUGCUGUAGGCA
ensembl:rRNA 5S_rRNA 5S ribosomal RNA